UAUGUUGUGAUUGAUCUAAUGCUUCAGUGGAGUAUUUCUAGGGAUGACAAUGGACAGAAUCUAGGGAUGACAAUGUGAAGUAUUUGAGGAACCAAGAUUGGGACAAUUCAAACCUUUGUCAUUAUUAUGUGUCGUAACCAUGUGCUUGUAUGUGUUACUCAUUACUGUUUUGGUUGAAGGAAUUAUGCUAGUUUCUUUAGCUUUUAAUGAGAAGUAAACUCAUUGUUUUAGGUAAUGUACCCUUCAAAGCUACUAGUCCUUUGCAUUACAUUACAAUGUAAGAAGUUUCUUGUUAAUGAGAAUGUCCUUUUCACUUUCAAUAACAAGUGUAACAAGAGUAUUAGUUGUUGUCUCAAUUGCUUGAAUGUAUUAUGCAAAAAAAAAACUAUAUAGGACAAGUGAAUUAAAAAUUUCACAGACUUAUUAGCCCUCAUGAGAGAUAUGCUUCCGGAGGAUAAUGUUCUUCCUAAUCGAACCUAUGAGGCCAAAAAAAUGUUGUGCUCUAUUGGCAUGAGCUAUGAUAAGAUACAUGCCUGUCCAAACGAUUGCGUUUUGUUUCGAAACGAAUAUGCAUCGUUAAAUGAGUGCCCGAAAUGCGGUUUAUCUCGAUAUAAGAAAAAAUUGUCUCCAGCAAAAGUCUUAUGGUAUUUUCCUAUAAUUCCGAGAUUUAGGCGCAUGUUUCGUAGUGAAACCGAUGCAAGACAUUUGACUUGGCAUGCAGAUGAAAGAAUUAUUGAUGGAAAGUAUCGACAUCCGGCAGAUUCACCACAGUGGUCGAAAAUUGAUGAUGAUUAUCCUGAUUUUGGAGCAGACGCAAGAAACCUUCGAUUGGCAUUAUCUACUGAUGGAAUGAACCCACAUGGUCUUCAAAUAUUUUGAUGACUUCAAGUGUGCUACUUACUCAAAAUCUAAGUUGGAUGAACUUAAGGAGGAAUGGUGUCAAUUCAUGAUUGAGUUGAAAGUUGUAUAGGAUAUUGAAGGGUAAAAAGGUUAGCUGGCAAGAAGAAAAAGUUGAUAUUUAGCAUCCUUUUGACUUGUGUAAAAAAUAACAAUGUUUUGGAUAAUGCA